UUAAAUUUUGCAUGGGGUGCGACAACCAUCAAAAUUUUGGCGUCGUUGCCGGGGACCAACGGUUCGGUUUUAGGUCUUUUGUUGUGUUUGUGUGUGUUGUGUUUUGUCUCGUGUUGUGAGUGUGAUGUUCUGUUUUGUGUGUUCGUCAUUGUGUGUUGCAUUUAGGUAGCUUUAGUUGCAUAUUUUCAUUGCAUUCUUCUUUUCCCCCUUCUUUCCCAUGUCUACCUAUUUUGGUUAUGUGAGCAAUGCUUAUUCUGCCUGUGUCUAUG
rnacentral:lncRNA from 1 species